GAUGAACGCUGGCGGCGUGCCUAAUACAUGCAAGUCGAGCGAAUGGAUUAAGAGCUUGCUCUUAUGAAGUUAGCGGCGGACGGGUGAGUAACACGUGGGUAACCUGCCCAUAAGACUGGGAUAACUUCGGGAAACCGGGGCUAAUACCGGAUAACAUUUUGAACCGCAUGGUUCGAAAUUGAAAGGCGGCUUCGGCUGUUACUUAUGGAUGGACCCGCGUCGCAUUAGCUAGUUGGGGAGGUAACGGCUCACCAAGGCAACGAUGCGUAGCCGACCUGAGAGGGUGAUCGGCCACACUGGGACUGAGACACGGCCCAGACUCCUACGGGAGGCAGCAGUAGGGAAUCUUCCGCAAUGGACGAAAGUCUGACGGAGCAACGCCGCGUGAGUGAUGAAGGCUUUCGGGUCGUAAAACUCUGUUGUUAGGGAAGAACAAGUGCUAGUUGAAUAAGCUGGCACCUUGACGGUACCUAACCAGAAAGCCACGGCUAACUACGUGCCAGCAGCCGCCGUAA
rnacentral:rRNA from 1 species